rnacentral:lncRNA from 1 species
UUUUUAUACGACCGCAAAAAUUGAAAAUUUUUUGGUCGUAUAUUGGUAUGAUGUUGGCGUCGUCGGUCGCGUCAUCGUCUGAAUACUUUUAGUUUUCGCACUCUAACUUUAGUAAAAGUGAAUAGAAAUCUAUGAAAUUUUAACACAAGGUUUAUGACCACAAAAGGAAGGUUGGGAUUGAUUUUGGGAGUUUUGGUCCCAACAUUUUAGGAAUUAGGGGCCAAAAAGGGC